rnacentral:rRNA from 1 species
GGUGAACGCUGGCGGCGUGCCUAAUACAUGCCAGUCGAGCGAACAGACGAGGAGCUUGCUCCUCUGACGUUAGCGGCGGACGGGUGAGUAACACGUGGAUAACCUACCUAUAAGACUGGGAUAACUUCGGGAAACCGGAGCUAAUACCGGAUAAUAUAUUGAACCGCAUGGUUCAAUAGUGAAAGACGGUUUUGCUGUCACUUAUAGAUGGAUCCGCGCCGCAUUAGCUAGUUGGUAAGGUAACGGCUUACCAAGGCAACGAUGCGUAGCCGACCUGAGAGGGUGAUCGGCCACACUGGAACUGAGACACGGUCCAGACUCCUACGGGAAGCAGCAGUAGGGAAUCUUCCGCAAUGGGCGAAAGCCUGACGGAGCAACGCCGCGUGAGUGAUGAAGGUCUUCGGAUCGUAAAACUCUGUUAUUAGGGAAGAACAAAUGUGUAAGUAACUAUGCACGUCUUGACGGUACCUAAUCAGAAAGCCACGGCUAACUACGUG